GACGAACGCUGGCGGCAGGCCUAACACAUGCAAGUCGAGCGAGCGGCGGACGGGUGAGUAAUGCCUGGGAAUUGCCCAGUCGAGGGGGAUAACAGUUGGAAACGACUGCUAAUACCGCAUACGCUUGGAUUGCCUAGGUGGGAUUAGCUAGUUGGUGAGGUAAUGGCUAACCAAGGCGACGAUCCCUUGCUGGUCUGAGAGGCUGGACAGGCACCCUGGAACUGGAGCACGGUCCUAACUCCUACGGGGGGCAGCAGUUGGGAAUCUUGCACAAUUGGGGAAACCCUUAUGCAGCCAUGCCGCGUGUGUGAAGGAAGCCUUCGGGUUUUAAAACUCUUUCAGCUAGGAGGCGUUACUCGCAGAAGAGUCACCGGCUAACUCCGUGCCAGCAGCCGCGGUAAUUC
rnacentral:rRNA from 1 species